rnacentral:sRNA from 1 species
AAGGCGGGUUGUAUUUCGUGUCCCAAAAGGAUGCGGAGCAACAGGGCGAGCUCGUCUUGGUGGAUUUGUAUUAGCUCAGUGAAGAGCGAUCGAAUGCUAAUCGAUAGGUCGCGGUGUCAAAUCCGCAUACGACUCAAAACGCAAAGACUUGCCCGGUCAUGAGUGAAAAUUGCCUAAUCCCGGAGGCGAAAGCCAAUCCGGGUCGUUGAAGCCCGCAAGGCCGAAACGGUUGAUGGAAGAGAUGACGUCGGGACCGCAAUCCCUAAGUAGCCCCGAAGGCUCGCGUCGGAUCGAACAUCGAGUGGCUCAUGGCGACGAGGUCAACGCCGACCUCCCAAUAAGGCGGCAAUGGUGGAUACGAAGGCAGUCGGAAGACGUCUUCGUGGAUAGUACGCGAACCCGGUCCGGCAGGACCGCGGAUAAUGCGGCAAGGCCACUGCGGAACGCCCUAGUCUCAGGCU